rnacentral:rRNA from 1 species
UGGGGAAUUUUGGACAAUGGGCGAAAGCCUGAUCCAGCAAUGCCGCGUGUGUGAAGAAGGCCUUCGGGUUGUAAAGCACUUUUGUCCGGAAAGAAAUCCUUGGCUCUAAUACAGUCGGGGGAUGACGGUACCGGAAGAAUAAGCACCGGCUAACUACGUGCCAGCAGCCGCGGUAAUACGUAGGGUGCAAGCGUUAAUCGGAAUUACUGGGGCGUAAAGCGUGCGCAGGCGGUUUGCUAAGACCGAUGUGAAAUCCCCGGGCUCAACCUGGGAACUGCAUUGGUGACUGGCAGGCUAGAGUAUGGCAGAGGGGGGUAGAAUUCCACGUGUAGCAGUGAAAUGCGUAGAGAUGUGGAGGAAUACCGAUGGCGAAGGCAGCCCCCUGGGCCAAAUACUGACGCUCAUGCACGAAAGCGUGGGGAGCAAACAGGAUUAGAUACCCUGGGUAGUCCACGCCCUAAAACGAUGUCAACUAGUUGUUGGGGAUUCAUUUCCUUAGUAACGUAGCUAACGCGUGAAGUUGACCGCCUGGGGAGUACGGUCG